UGUACGGAACCCUCCAGAGACGGAGGGGUGCCUUCGGGAGCCGUAACACAGGUGCUGCAUGGCUGUCGUCAGCUCGUGUCGUGAGAUGUUGGGUUAAGUCCCGCAACGAGCGCAACCCUUGUCAUUAGUUGCCAUCAUUAAGUUGGGCACUCUAAUGAGACUGCCGGUGACAAGCCGGAGGAAGGUGGGGAUGACGUCAAGUCCUCAUGGCCCUUAUGACCAGGGCUUCACACGUCAUACAAUGGUCGGUACAGAGGGUAGCCAAGCCGUGAGGUGGAGCCAAUCUCACAAAACCGAUCGUAGUCCGGAUUGCACUCUGCAACUCGAGUGCAUGAAGUCGGAAUCGCUAGUAAUCGCAGGUCAGCAUACUGCGGUGAAUACGUUCCCGGGUCUUGUACACACCGCCCGUCACACCAUGGGAGUGGGGGAUACCAGAAGUAGGUAGGGUAACCGCAAGGAGCCCGCUUACCACGGUAUGCUUCAUGACUGGGGUGAAGUCGUAACAAGGUAGCCGUAGGGGAACCUGCGGCUGGAUCACCUCCUUUCUAGA
rnacentral:rRNA from 1 species